rnacentral:sRNA from 1 species
ACCGAAGAAGGGAGGUGAUCCGGAGCAUGUAUGCACACCGGACGUCGGAGGUGGCUGCGGGCUAGCGCCCGUCACCACUCAGUGCGGUGCCGGACCCGUGCGCGGAUGCGCGUGCAGCCGGCCCAAUCCCAGCAGUCACCCGACCCGCGAGUCGCCGGUACGUCCGGCCGGCCCCUCCCUCUGGGAGGACCAGACUCGCGGGUCGUCUGCG